rnacentral:rRNA from 1 species
GACGAACGCUGGCGGCGUGCUUAACACAUGCCAGUCGAACGAAGAGCGAUGGAAGCUUGCUUCUAUCAAUCUUAGUGGCGAACGGGUGAGUAACGCGUAAUCAACCUGCCCUUCAGAGGGGGACAACAGUUGGAAACGACUGCUAAUACCGCAUACGAUCUAAUCUCGGCAUCGAGGAAAGAUGAAAGGUGGCCUCUAUUUAUAAGCUAUCACUGAAGGAGGGGAUUGCGUCUGAUUAGCUAGUUGGAGGGGUAACGGCCCACCAAGGCGAUGAUCAGUAGCCGGUCUGAGAGGAUGAACGGCCACAUUGGGACUGAGACACGGCCCAGACUCCUACGGGAGGCAGCAGUGGGGAAUCUUCCGCAAUGGACGAAAGUCUGACGGAGCAACGCCGCGUGAGUGAUGACGGCCUUCGGGUUGUAAAGCUCUGUUAAUCGGGACGAAAGGCCUUCUUGCGAACAGUUAGAAGGAUUGACGGUACCGGAAUAGAAAGCCACGGCUAACUACGUG